rnacentral:SRP_RNA from 1 species
GCCGGGCAUGGUGGCUCAUGCCUGUAAUCCCAGCACUUUGGGAGGCCGAGGUGGGUGGAUCACCUGAGGUCAGGAGUUCGAGACCAGCCUGGCCAACAUGGUGAAACCCCAUCUCUA